AUCCAGAUGUAAAUAUAUCAUUAAUUCAGGUUACGAAACAAGUCACAUAGCAGGAAGUGCACAUUUCUAUUCCAGAUUAGAGCUUCCCAAGAGCAUCCAACAAAUUUCAUUCAUCACCAACACUUCUAGAUUCAGACAAACGAGUCAACACCAGGUAACUACAAGCACUGCCAGAAACUAGCGAUCUAAGAGGAGGUGAACUUGGUGACGGCCUUGGUGCCCUCGGAGACGGCGUGCUUGGCGAGCUCGCCGGGGAGGACGAGGCGGACGGAGGUCUGGAUCUCCCGGGAGGCGAUGGUGGGCUUCUUGUUGUAGCGGGCGAGCUUGGCGGCCUCGCCGGCGAGCUUCUCGAAGAUGUCGUUGAUGAAGGAGU
rnacentral:lncRNA from 1 species